ensembl:lncRNA
GUUUCCUUCAAUCAUUAAAGCCACAUAAUAUAUUUCAUUCUGAUAUGAAGAAUUUUAUUUGGCCACUUCACAAACAUACAACAUUGAAUUCAAGAUGAAACAUUGAAUUACUCAGAUUAUUAUUUCCAGAAUUGAAUACUUUCAAUUUUUAAAAUUUAUCUUGUUAAUUAAGACCUGUUAUUUUUAUGUAUAUGGGGAAUCUCUUGAUGAGGAAAUUCCCCCCAUGAAUAACCAAUAUUGCACAUAUGGCUUUGUCUUAGAAUAUCCCUUAGGUAGAUAUUAAGAUGUUAAGUGACUUGCUCCUGAUCACUUUGCUAAUUUUGUCAGAGGCAGGACUUCAUCAGGUCUUCCAAACUAGCAUACUAUGCUGCCUCCAAAUUUAUUUAACUUACACGAAUCUUUCAAAAUGUUCUCAGACAAUAUGGAUUCAAGUGUAACAAAGAAGAAAAGAGAAGAACACCAUGAUUACCAGCUUCCUAUAUUUGGAGAUUAUCAUUUAAAAUAGCAAUUAUAUAUGUUCAUGUGGACUUAGGCAAGAAUGAGGACCAGUAUCUGGAGUUUACAAUGAGGUAGAAUUUGACCUAAUAUAAGAAAGAAUUUCCUAACAGUUUUAUCUGUCAGUAAUGCAGUGUUGUGCCCUUGAAGUUAGUGAGUUUCCCAUCACUAAUGAUGUUUAUGUAGAGGUUGGAUGCUCCCUUGUUCUAGGAGAGAUGGAUAGGUCAAAUCUGAGGUAACAUCUGAAUUUCUGGGGUCCUAAGGUUUGUAUGUAGAUGUACAGUGGGCUAAAGAAUCAGAUUUAAAUAGUGUUUGACCUAGGACUUAGGCAUGUAUUUAACAUUUUCUCUUACAGCACCGAAGAUAGGAUAGGGAUAGAUUUGUAUUAAUUUGUGGAAGACAUAACAUUUUGAGACUUCCUAGAAACUUGGGAAGGAGAAUCUGAGUUGGGAGACAUAUUUUUAAAUUAAAAAAUAUUAUUUGGAAAAGUUACCAGAAAGGAAUAUGAGAAAGGCCAGUAUAGAGAAGGGUGUAUAUUUGUAGAAGAAAAGUAAGUAGUCAAUAACACACAUACAUAAAAAGGUGAAAGUAACAGAACACGGUAAUAUUAAUUUAAAUGUAGACCAAACAUUUUUGACAGGGAGAAGAUUGUGUAAAUCUAUGUACAUUAUAAGUAUUCGCAUACCAAAAAAUCCUUCAAUAAGAAGUCACACUCAUAGUUCAAGCCAGAUUUGUAAGGGAAAGUCCAGAUUAUAUUGAGGCCAUCACAGUAAUGGAAGGAAUUUGAAUAGUAAUAGAGAAUCUGAAGUGGAAAGGAUUUCCAAUGGCCUCUAGUUCAACAUGUAUCUGAAAAAUCUUUUUUCAACUUUCUUGACAAGUGACCAUCUAGCCCAGGACUUUUUAAACCUCUUGUGUCCUUUACUCCUUUGGCAUCCUGGUAAAGCAUUAUGGAAAACAUCUCAGAAUGAUGUUUUUAAAUGCAUAAAAUAAAAUAUAUUCACUUCUAAAGGAUAUCAGUUAUACUGAAAUACAACCUAUUUUUAAAUAUGUAUAUUAUAUUUUGUACUAAAUUCAUGGCUCUUAAAUUAAGAGGCUCUGACUUAGGUCCCUCAUCAUUAGAAAUGUCUAGGGCUGUCUUAAUUUACAUUUGCUUUAUAGUUUACCAACUAUUUUGCUCACAGCAACUUUGUGACAGUAAUUUAUCUCCACUUCUAAAAUGAAAAAACUUGACAAGAGGGUAAUGUGACUUGCCCUAGAGUUAUAAUGGAGAAACUGCUUUAAAAAGCUAAUAUCAGUAGAUAAAGGGAAGAGGAUGGGAGAGAAUUCCUUUCUUGUACUUGGUGGACUUGAUAUUAUGUCAGGCUCCAUUCACAUACCACAACAAAAUAAAGAACUUUGAGGGGAUGAUGUAUGUAAUUAAGAAAUUAAAUGAACUCAGAAUUAAGACCUAUGAGAAAAGGUUAGAGGAUCCCAAUCCUCCAACCUCAGAGAGGUUUGAAAGAUAGUUUAGUUGAUCCUCAAAAGGAAAAGCAAUUCAAAUGGAGAAAGAUGACUAAUAGCUGUUGUUCUCCCAUUUCCAUUGAACAGCUUUAGCAAACAAGGCAAUGGAAAAGUGGCAAGAGAGUAUAUGACUUGGGCAAAUCACUUUCCUUCCUUUCUCUAGUCUGAUAUUUUUA